GUCUGUUUUUGAUCCUUGUUUGUUUUUAGAUGUGCGCAAUGGCAAAUUUCAGGUUAUUCGUCAAAUAACCAAGGUUUCUAUUUCUCUGAUUAAUGCAGUUUAUUUGACAGAUGUGUAAUGCUGUUUGUUGAAAAAUGCAUUAGAACCAAUGAUGGUAAGAUCUUGGCCUAGCAAAUUGGUAAAAUAUUACCUGCUCUUAAUUACUGAAUCAUAUUGUAGGAUAAAAUCUGCUGUUUAUGUAUGAAAAUUUGUACUUUAUCUCUGAUUAUGUGGUAUAUGCCCAGAAUUUCAUUAUUAAUGAUCGAUUCAUUAAAAUUACUAUUUUUAAUUGUCUACUUUGUUUUGUGUUGCUGCUGCUCAUUCUGCAUUUUUUUUUUUUUUUUUUUUGAGUAGAUAUAAAAAUUAAUUCUUGUUUUUUAUUUU